rnacentral:lncRNA from 1 species
CAGAGAGAGUGAAGGAGAGACCUUCAAGCUUUGCUGGUAGGGGAUCCCAUCUGGGUCUUACAUAUGGAUCUCCUGCUCUCGUGGGGUCGUGGGGUCGAGAUGAAUUGGUUCCUUGUCCUUUUGUUCAAACUGAUCCUAGAAGGAUAAGAGGCACUCUAGAAGUGGAGAGAGAGGUGCGGCGGGUGGUGGGAAGACAAAGGCACUUGGAACUUCGACAAAGACGCCAAGAGUUUAUGUUUAGAGGUUUCUCAAUGCACCUCAGAUAGGACUGGAUUAAUUCCUGUCUUUGAAAUCUACUCUUGGAAGGGAGGACCAAGGCCCAACAAUGACGGUGAGAGAGGAACUGACCCUGUGAAGGACAAUCUUCAUUAUCUGUGGUGACAUAUCCCAGCCCCUGAAAAAUUUAACCUUAAGCCGCCCCUCUGCAAGACUCUUCGCAUUUCCCUCAUUCCCCGUAGGCAAAGGUCGCUAGCCACCCAUCUGUAAGAGCUGAAGGAAAGCUUGGCUUCUGGUAAAGUCAAAGGCUCUCAGAGAUGUGUCCUGUUUAUGGAAAGUAAGCA